CGAAGGGGAAGGGUUGCGGCCCUGGGUCGGCUCUGGGCAGGUUAAUAAACCCCAGUGGCGGAGCAGCACACGGGACCCUCUGGAGCUCGCAGAAACUGUACCACAGUGCAACUUUAUCACUUCAUCAAUGGCUCUUCAGGAGAGGAGCAGAAAGAAACUACAGACAAAAAAUGGCUUUAACAGAAGACACUGAAAUAGUUAAGGAGAGAGAUUAGUUUUACUUAAACACCUGAGAAAAGUCAGUAUGGAAGAGUACUUGCUGCAUCUGAAGACCAGUUACUUUUACAGCAAAGAAUGCAGUCUUCAGUUCUGCAAAGGUAUCAAGGAUCACCAUUGCCCACUCUCUGGUACGACACAGAUCAGACAGUCUCCCUAGUGAGCUCUACAGAAGCUAAACAAUUUGUAAGGAGGCCCUACCUAUUAGAGAACCAUCUAGCAUUAACAAAUGGACUGUUGAUGAUUUUGUAAUUCUCCAUCAGAUUAACAAGUUCCAGUUAAUUAUUCUAACUACUUAGAAUUAAUGGAUGGCAUUUCCACAUUGAACUUUGCUGACUCCCAAGUCUAACCUUUCAUCACACAUUUACCAAAGAGAUUAAAAAGCCCUCUGUUGUUAAACAUCUCAUGCCAGUACGGGUGCUUGCAACUUGUUCUAGGCAGCUCGUCAUCUUCCCCCUACUACACAGAACAUGUCCAUCUAUCCUUUUACCCGCUCACUGCAAAGGCAAUUACUAUGCUACAAAUCCUUGUAGUUUGCCCCUGAACUCCGCCCAGUUGUACAGCAACCUCUUGAGAGACAGCUCACUAGAACUGGAAAGUUCUCCAGCAGUGACCUGACGAAUGACAGAAGAAGCAACAGUCUCCAUAUUCUUGCAUCUCAUCCAUGUCAAGAUACCCAGGCAUACUACAAGCAACAGCAAUGGCAUACAUUUCUAAAGUUUUAGCUAUAAACAACUAUAUUGUGCUGAAACAGUCUGCACUAUCUCCUUUCCAUGAUUUCUACCACCACUGGCCCUUUGUUU